rnacentral:rRNA from 1 species
CCUACGGGAGGCUGCAGUGGGGAAUAUUGGGCAAUGGGCGCAAGCCUGACCCAGCAACGCCGCGUGAAGGAAGAAGGCUUUCGGGUUGUAAACUUCUUUUCUCAGGGACGAAGAAAGUGACGGUACCUGAGGAAUAAGCCACGGCUACCUACGUGCCAGCAGCCGCGGUACUACGUAGGUGGGAAGCGUUAACCGGCUUUAUUGGGUGUAAAGGGCGUGUAGGUGGGAGCGCAAGUCAGAUGUGAAAACUCAGGGCUCAACCCUGAGCCGGAAUUUGAUACUGUGAUUCUUGCGUGCUGGAGAGGCAAGCGGAAUUCCGGGUGUAGCGGUGAAAUGCGUAGAUAUACGGAGGAACACCAGAGGCGAAGGCAGAUUGCUGGACAGAAACUGACGCUGAGGCGCGAAAGCGUGGGGAGCAAACAGGAUUAGAUACCCGUGUAGUC